AGGAAUUAUAUCCUCCAUGUAAAUUGAUACCACGAAUUUAAACAAUAGCACCAUGCAGAAUUUUCUUUAUCAUUCAGAAAGAGCUGAGCUAUUUCUCUGCACAGGAAUGCAUAUUGUAGACAGAAGAGGGAUCAAUUUGAAGGUCAAUAGUAAGUUCUUGGAUCGAAAUGAAAAAGGUAAAAUAACAUGCAUGUUCCAAGUAUUUGCAAUGCGG
rnacentral:lncRNA from 1 species